rnacentral:misc_RNA from 1 species
AAGUCGUAACAAGGUCUCCGUUGGUGAACCAGCGGAGGGAUCAUUACAAGAGUAGCCCUAGGCUCUCCAACCCACUGUGAACAUACCUACGUUCCCCCGGCGGGCUCAGCGCGCGGUGCCUCCGGGCGCCGGGCGUCCGCCGAGGGCCCCCAAACUCGAAUUUAUUACGUGUAUAUCUGAGGGGCGAAAGCCUGUAAAAAUAAAUCAAAACUUUCAACAACGGAUCUCUUGGCUCUG